AGAAUCACAUGGAAGCAGCUCUCCCCUAGACUCUCCUAGAUGUUAGGUCUCUGAGAUCAUAGUAAUGCAGUCAGCAAUGAAACCUACCUGGUUAAUUAGAGAAACACAGCUCCAUCAAUGUAAGAGAGAAGUCUGGGCUGCCGAGUGUCUGACGGGACAAAUCCUUCCAACGGCCGCAGCAGGUGCUUCUUCUAGCCCUGUGUUGCAAUGACCUGCAGCUCCUGGGGAUAACUCAGGCACGCUGCUGACGCCAUCAGGAGGCUCAACACCCUCACCCGCUUACGCUACGACCAGCAAAAGCAAACCCCGCAGCUGCCUGCCAGCCGGGAAGAAGGACUGUGUUUCCAUGUUGUGAGUCUCCUCAUUGCAGCCAGAUGAUGAAUUUGCUGCUGGCUUUGUGCGAAACCGAGAAAUACCCAGCGUCCAGCUGAGGGCCCGGGUGGCAACAAAAUCAAGCUGAUGAAUUAAAGAAAUAUGGCCUGGUCAGGAUGCCUGGAGGCCUCAGAGUUCUGAUCUUUCUUCUGAGUUACUACAUCUUCUGAACUGCUCCCAGGAUGGUGUUUGUGAUAAGUUGGUUUGCCCAGUAAAACUGUCGCCCAGUGGAGGCAAGCCCUACCUCCUGUCCUUUCUCAUGCAGUGGUGUGGAGCGUGGUGGGGAAGAAAGGGCGUUCGACAGCAAGUCAAAAACUUUGGAUUUCAUUUGUGGCUGUGACACUGGGUUGGGGUCAGUGGCUCAGUGUUGGGAGGGUCUCAUUUCUCUCCAACUCCAUAGGGCUGUGAGAUCACCCACAGCUUUGAUUUGCAUGUCCAAGCUCAUCCCAGCACUUUCUCCUCAGAAUCUGGCUAACAUUUCAAGUCACUCACUAGCUUCCAGAACUAUGGUUAGCUCAGACUCAGUUGUAGCUUCCCCAAACUGUCAUCCUACUGUUUUUAUCUUACAGCUGAAGGAACUGAAUCCCAAACAGCCCGAGCAACCCAUUCAGAAUCACACCACAGAUUUCCUCACCCCUCUUCCACACCACAGAGCCUUCCCAUUUUUACAUGUCUUUUAUAUUAAGACAAAACCAAAAACUCAUAAUUAAGUCAGUAGUGUAGAAACCUGAAAGAUAUUUUGUUAUAAAAGGUUCACUGUAAACCAGGAUUUAGAAAAUGCAAACCCUUGGGUAAAAUGAAGUGUUUUCAGGACACUCACCAGCAGGAUCCCUGGCCCCAAUUCUGAGAAUGUGACCAUAAGGACAAGAGGCCUGACUGGUCACCCCAGGCCAGGCCACCUCUCUGACAGUCUGGGAUUCUCCCUGCAUGCCCCAGAUCCAUCCUAAUGAUGAAGCUCAGGUGCUGAGAGCAACUGAUCAGAUGUUGGCAGGAUCAUCUAAAUCCAUAGGCAGCCAAGCAGCCACUCUACUUUGCCUGGCAGAGCUGCAGCAGGCACCUGCAGACACCACCCAAGAGACAGUUCUGCAGUGGCUGAAAUGUCUGGAAUCUGUACUCCUGGAGCAGUGGCGAGUGGGCACAGGUGGCUAUGGAGACUUAGAAUGGGGCUAGUGCAAGUGGGAAACUGCAUUUGCAGUUUUAUGUCAUUCUAACUGGUUUAAAGUUUAUGCAGCCACAUGUGGUUAGCGACUAAGGCACUGGACAACACAGUUAGAAAAGUCCCUCUCCUGGGCACUGCCAGCUGCAGGCACAUUCCUAACCUAAGAUGUCCUGCUUGUUCCUCUGGGUGUGUGGGCUGCAGUCUCAGUGUCUGCUCGCGCAUGUGGACACACCUGCCUUUGCCAGCACAUAACUCACCCACCCGUUCGCACACACAUACACAUGCACCCAAUUCACCUUGACUUUGAGUGUCCAUGUCUUUUCUUGGCCCCACCUGCAGUCUUGAUGCCCCAGGUAGGAAUCUUGGCAUGUUGAGGGAGGGGCCUGUGGGAAGCAAACUGCAUUCUCGUCCUUACUCCGUGAUCGUCAAGGAUUCACCCCUGCCAUCUUCUCCCCCUGACCUCAGCGAGAGCACUGUUCAGCAGUUUGCCUAACCGAGAAUCCACAGCUUCUCGUCCCUGUCUGGCUCCCUGUCUCGGAAGCAAUGUUCUCGCGUCUUCCUCCAGACAGGCAGCUGCUGGCAUCUUCACAGCUCCCUCUCUCCGCGGCUGAAGUCAGGACCCACAGAUGGUGCCGCUCGUUUUCCUCAGCAGCUCUGCUUACCGCAUUUACAGGGGUGGCAGAAGCCAGUGCGAAUGAAUAUUAAAUCAACUAAGGCAGAACUUCUCAAAAUACACUCCUCAAAACAGGUUUUUUCUUUUUUCUUUUUUUUUUUAACCCCACAAACUGAGUCCAUUUUGGCUUCAGCGAAAACCACACUCUCACCUUCCUUUCUGUGAAUUACCAGGAAAUAGUUCAAUUUUACUUUUUUUUUUUUUUCUGUCAAACAUUUUCUUCCUAAACUUUUUGGCUGCUACCUGUUUUCAAGCAGACGGCUAAUCCGGUAGCAAAUGAACUGGGUUUUUCUUAGGCUUGACAUAUCUCUGUCAACAGCCUUUUUCUUUUUUUUAAACUAAGCCCAGAUUUUUGUGCAAAACCGAGAAAUACCCAGUGUCCAACUGAGGGCCCGGGUGGCAACAAAAUCAAGCCGAUGAAUUAAAGAAAUAUUGCCUGGUCAGGAUGCCUGGAGGCCUCAGAGUUCUGAUCUUUCUUCUGAAUGACUACAUCUUCUGGACUGCUCCCAGGAUGGUGUUUGUGAUAGGUUGGUUUGCCCAGUAAAACUGUCACCCAAUGAAGGCAAGCCCUACCUCCUGUCCUUUCUCAUGCAGUGGUGUGGAGCGUGGUAGGGAAGAAAGGGCAUUCGACAGCAAGUCGAAAACUCUGGAUUUCAUUUGUGGCUCUUACACCCCUUUUUGAAAGGAGUUUUGAAGCAAGCUUGCAUGCGGUUACACCUGAACUCUCAGUUAAGAGCAAUUCCAUCUUCCAGUUGCUUGGGCCAAAAACUUCCAUAUCAGUCUUAACUCGUAUUUCUCUCAUACACAUAUGCAGUCUGGCAGCUCCACCUCCACCAAAUAUGGAAAUCUGGAUGCCAUUCCUACCUCCCCUGCCAACCCCCUGGUCCAAGCGACCAUGGCCUCUCAGCUGGGUGAAUGCAAGAGACCCUUCUCUGAUCUCCUUGUAUCACCCUUGAGCUUUUAAAAUCUAUUUCCCACCCAGAAGCCUAAGAACCCCAUUCCUCCUCUGUGGUUCUCCUCCUCACUCAGGAAUAAGCCCUGCACGAUCUAGAGCCCCUUCCUGGCCUCUCCCUGCACAGGCAUCCUGCCCUCGCUUCCCCUUCCCCCUUCCCCGUUCCUCACCCCUCCCCCGCCUCUUUCCUGUCGUCCAGCACACCCUGCUCCACCUCCGUGGGCACUUGCUGUUUCCUCUGCCAGAACACUUUGUUCCCAGUAUCUUCACAACCCAAUCCCUCACUUCCUCCAUAUUCUGGCCUUCCUAAGCAUUUUAUCUGAAGUUCCAGCAUCCUCUUGCCCCAACACGUAAUACAGACACACAUUCCUGGCUUUAGUGUUCCUUGCUAACAUUUCGCUCUUGAAAGCAUAUCUUAGGCAGUUACUCUGUUUAUUUUCAAUCUCCCGCGUAAGAACGUAGCUUCCUGAGGGCAGGAAUUUGGGUCUCUUUUGUUCACUGCUGUGACCUCGUUGUCCAGAGGAGUGUCUAGCCCUCCGUAGGCACUCGGGAAAAGUUAAGUGACUUCAUGAGGGCGUCUUCUCCACAGCAGUACCCACAUUCUGUAUUGUGGUGUCAACACUGGCUUACUUUGAAAUGACUGGCCUCUAAUGUAGAGAUAACCCAACCCUCAACACAGUCACUGCCCGACUCUUCAAAAGCCCUAUAACCAUUGAGGUAGGUUAUUAAACUUAGUAUCAUAGGCUUUUUAAAAAAACAACAACAAGGAUUUUUGAGGUAUAACUGGUGUACAAUAAACUGCAUACCAUUUAAGUGUAAAGUUUGGUAAACAUUGAUGUGUAUGCAUCAUUACCACAUGAAAUAUAAUGAAUAUGCCCAUUAUCUCCUCCAAUUUCCCCAUGCCCUUUGUAAUUCCUUCCUCUUGCCCCCUACCCUUUUCUACACAACUAUUGAUUUGUUCUCUGUCACUAUAGAUUCGCUUGCAUUUUCUAGAGUUGUAAGUAGAUGAAAUCAUGCAUUACGUACUUUUCCCCUAGCUUCAUUUGCUCAGCAUGGUUAUUUUGAGAAUCAUCGAUGUCAUUGUGUGCAUCAGAAUCCAUUUCUUUUUACUGCUCAGUAGCAUUCCACAUUUAUCCACUCAUCUGUUGAUAGGCAUUUGGGUUAGUUCCAGUUUGGAGCUAUUACUAGUCAAGCUGCUAUAAACAUUAGUGUACAAGUCUUUGCAUGGGCAUCUGCUUUCAUUUCUUUGUGUAAAUACUUGGGAGUGAAAAUGGUUGAGUCAUAUGAUGGGUACAUGUUUAGCUUUUAAAGAAACUGCCAAACUGUUUUUAAAAAUGGUCAUAACAUUUUGCACUCCUGCCAAUAGCGAAUGAGAGUUCCUAUUCCUCCACAUCCUUGCCAACACUUGGUAUGGUUGGUCUCUUUAAUUUUAGUCAUUCAAGUGGCUAUGUAGUAUUCUCUCACUGUGCUUUUUAUUUGCAUUUCUCUGAUGAUGAACAACUUUUUAAGGUAUAAUUGCCAUGUAUUAAAUUACACAUGAUUACAAUAUACAAUUUAAUCUUGUACAUCUUUUUGUUUACUUGCCAUCCGUAUAUCUUCUUUCAUAAAGUAUGUGUUCAAACCUUU